GAACUCACUCUGUAGACCAGGCUGGCCUCAAACUCACAGAGAACUGCCUGCCUCUGCCUCCUGAGUGCUGGGAU
rnacentral:miRNA from 1 species